rnacentral:rRNA from 1 species
UACGUAGGUAGCGAGCGUUGUCCGGAUUUACUGGGCGUAAAGGGAGCGUAGGCGGACUUUUAAGUGAGAUGUGAAAUACCCGGGCUCAACUUGGGUGCUGCAUUUCAAACUGAAAGUCUAGAGUGCAGGAGAGGAGAAUGGAAUUCCUAGUGUAGCGGUGAAAUGCGUAGAGAUUAGGAAGAACACCAGUGGCGAAGGCGAUUCUCUGGACUGUAACUGACGCUGAGGCUCGAAAGCGUGGGGAGCAAACAGGAUUAGAUACCCCGGUA